AUUGAACGCUGGCGGCAUGCCUUACACAUGCAAGUCGAACGGUAACAGGUCUUCGGAUGCUGACGAGUGGCGAACGGGUGAGUAAUACAUCGGAACGUGCCUAGUAGUGGGGGAUAACUACUCGAAAGAGUGGCUAAUACCGCACGAGAUCUACGGAUGAAAGCAGGGGGUCGCAAAACCUUGUGCUACUAGAGCGGCCGAUGGCAGAUUAGGUAGUUGGUGGGAUAAAAGCUUACCAAGCCGACGAUCUGUAGCUGGUCUGAGAGGACGAGCAGCCACACUGGGACUGAGAAACGGCCCAGACUCCUACGGGAGGCAGCAGUGGGGAAUUUUGGACAAUGGGCGCAAGCCUGAUCCAGCAAUGCCGCGUGCAGGAUGAAGGCCUUCGGGUUGUAAACUGCUUUUGUACGGAACGAAAAGCCCCGGGUUAAUACCCUGGGGUCAUGACGGUACCGUAAGAAUAAGCACCGGCUAACUACGUGCCAGCCGCCGCGGUAA
rnacentral:rRNA from 1 species